rnacentral:rRNA from 1 species
AUGGGAGAAGUUGCAUACAAGCUGGAACUGCCAGAAGGGUUGUCAGGAGUUCAUGAUGUGUUUCACAUUUCCCAGUUGAAGAAGUGCCACGCGGAGAUGGCCGAUAUUCCUCUGAGAGAUACAGUGCCAUUGGAAGCGAUUCAGUUAGACAGUGAUUUGACUUAUGAGGAGAAGCCAGUCAAGAUUCUUGAGUUUUCUAGCCGAGUUACUCGCAACAAGGUUAUCAAGUUUUGCAAAGUUCAGUGGAGCCACCAUACCGAGGAGGAAGCCACCUGGGAGCGAGAGGAAGACCUUCGUAGAGACCACCCAAACCUUUUUGAUGACCAUCCUGAAUCUCGAGGGCGAGAUUCAUCUUAA